AAGGACAUGCAAACAGAACAGAGAGAUGCCAUAGGGGGAGAACAGACCAGACCCCAAAGUCCGUGCCGUAUGUGGAAAGGGGGCAGCUCUCCCUGAAUUCCAUCCUGAUGUGCCAACUAAGACCCGGAUGUCAGCCUCCUCCCUCUUGGAAGGAGAAAAAGUUUCUAGUUGUCUAUUAUGUCACCUUUAGUCAAUCAUACCUCUCCACACCCCCUAAGAUAGCUUGCCCGCUCCUCCCCCUCCUAAUCCCUUAUAAGCCCCCCACCUCCCCAACCGGGUGUGACUUCUCUGGCCUGUGACAAGAAGGCCACAGAACCUCACCCGGGGGUAUUUAAAUAAAUUACCUGGCCCUUUGUUGCCUCUCUUUGCCUGCUUAUUUCGGCUAGAAUUUAUCUUACAACUAUGAGCAGACACACUAGGACCCACAGUGGUUUCCAUCUGUGUUGAUGACAGCCACAUUGACUGUGCAUGGGGCAGUGGCAGUGGUGUUCUGGUAAGUGUUUAACAAUUUGCUUACUGGGAGAAAAAGCCCUGGUCUGUAACAUUUGCCAAUUUCUGUGGCAUCAAUAACCCUGUGGUCAAUUUUAAGCUAUCUAUAUAACAUCACUGAACAGAAGUUGGGAAGAGAUGCAGAGAAGCUCACCAUUAUAUAACAUUUCCAUUGUACAGAUACAAUCGGUAUAAAUAACCUCAAGAGCAUACAUAAUAGUAAAAUGUAGUAAAAUAAUUUGGAAGUGAUGACUUCUAAGAAUUAAUUGCCUCUUAAAAUAUCAUUUACGUACUUAUAUGUUUCCAUAAUUUAAUAUGUAAUAAUGACUGUGUUUGUCAACUGGCUCACAAACAUUCCUGAAAUGUUAAGAAUCAGCUCUAACAAGCCUACCCAAGCCGACUGCAGCCCACCGCAGGCCCAGGGACCUUCAAUAGCCGGGCGGUUACAGAGGACUACAUUUCCCAUAAGCCUCCUCUCCCAGACAAGCCCUCUGCUUCCGAAAGCUGUUACCCCGGAGAUGGGCUAACAGAUCCGUCUGGCUGUCCUCAGAGACCGCCAGAGACGCAACAGAAUGGAGGUCCUGAAGGAGAAAGUGGAGGAGGAGGAGGAGGCCGAGCGGGAGGAGGCGGCUGAGCGGGCAGAGAAGGGCGAGAAAAUGAUGAGGCCAUCGGAGGUGCAGAAGGAGGAAAUCAUGACACAGGAGACGAUCAGAGACCUGGAGAAGAAGCUGUCGGAGAUUGAGAUCACCGUCCCAGAGACGCCCUCGAUCAUUACCAAGGACACUAUUGACAUCUCCAAGCUGCCCCUUGCCUACCGAAGCAACACACCCAAGGAGGAACACCUGCUGCAGGUGGCAGACAGCUUCUCCCGCCAGUACAGCCACCUGUGCCCAGACCGUGUGCCCCUCUUCCUGCACCCCCUGAAUGAGUGCAACGUGCCUAAGUUCGUGAGCACAACCGUCCGGCCCACACUGAUGCCCUACCCUGAGCUCUACAACUGGGACAGCUGUGCCCAGUUUGUCUCAGACUCCCUCUCCAUGGUGCCUCUGCCUGACCCCCUCAAGCCGCCCUGCUACCUGUACUCCUCGACCACGGUGCUCAAGUGCCAGAAAGGGAACUGCUUCGACUUCAGCACACUGCUCUGCUCCAUGCUCAUCGGCGCUGGCUACGACGCCUAUUGCGUCAACGGCUACGGCUCCCUGGACCUGUGCCACAUGGACCUGACUCGGGAGGUGUGCCCGCUCACCAUGAAGCCCAAGGAGAAGGUCCAGGAGGAGAAAAAGUCACCACCCAAGAAGUACACCGUCAAACCCCCCAGGGACCUGAGCAGCAGGUUUGAGCAGGAGCAGGAGAAGAAGAAGCAGGAAGAGAUCAAAGCCAAGGAGGAAAGGCGGCUGAGGGAGGAGGAGGAGCACCUCCUGGAGAUGGAGAAUGCAAAGGCCGACCCCCUGCAUGGCCUGCGGGUGCACUCCUGGGUCCUGGUGUUGUCGGGAAAGCGUGAGGUGCCUGAGAGCUUUUUCAUUGACCCGUUCACGGCGCGCAGCUACAGCACCCAGAACGACCACUUCCUGGGCAUUGAGAGUCUCUGGAACCACAAGAACUACUGGGUCAACAUGCAGGACUGUUGGAACUGCUGCAAGGACCUGAUCUUUGACCUGGGAGACCCUGUGAGGUGGGAGUACCUGCUCUUGGGGACGGAUAAGUCUCACCUGUCCAUGACUAAGGAAGAUGAUGAGGGGAUGAAUGAUGACGAUGAUGUAGAAAACCUGCAGGACAAGGAGGAUGAGGAUAAGAGCUUCGACAUGCCGCAGUCGUGGGUGGAGCAGAUUGAGAUCUCUCCAGAGGCGUUCGAGACCCGCUGCCCAAACGGUAAGAAGGUGAUACAGUACAAGAGGGCGAAGCUGGAGAAGUGGGCCCCAUACCUCAACAGGAAUGGCCUCAUGUGCCGCCUCACCACCUAUGAGGACUUGGAGUGUACCAAGGUUUUGGAGAUAAAGGAGUGGUACGAGAACCGGGAGGACAUGCUGCAGCUGAAGCACAUAAACAAGAGCACAGGCCUGAAUACUGACUACUUCAAGCCAGGCCACCCCCAGGCUCUGCGUGUACACUCAUACACAUCUGUGCAGCCUCAGACGGACCGGGUCAUGGAGUUUUACGAAACGGCCCGUGUAGAUGGCCUGAUAAAGCGGGAGGAGACGCCCAAGACGAUGACCGAGUACUAUCAAGGCAGGCCCGACUUCCUGUCCUACCGCCAUGUCAAUUUUGGGCCCAGGGUCAAGAAGUUGACUGUGAACAGUGCAGAGUCAAAUCCCCGGCCCAAGAAGUUGACUGUGAACAGUGCAGAGUCAAAUCCCCGGCCCGUGGUGAAAAUCACAGAGCGAUUCUUCCACAACCCCGAGAAGCCUGCGGAUGAGGAUGUGGCAGAGCGUGUGUUUCUCAUCCUGGAGGAGUGCAUCCAGCUGCGCUACCACUGCCGCGAGGACCACAUCACAGUCAACACGUGCGAGUUCCUGCCGUGCACUGAGGUGGACAGCAAGGGCAACAAGAUCAUGACGCCUGACAUGUGUGUCAGCUUUGAGGUGGAGCCCUUGGAGCACACCAAGAAGCUUCUCUACCAGUAUAAGGCCAUGAUACAUCUGAAGAACGAGGAGAAGUUGUCCAAACAUCAGGCCCGGGAGUCAGAGCUGGAGGUGCUGGAGAUCCUGAAGCUCCGAGAGGAAGAGGAGGAGGCACACACAUUGACCAUCUCCAUCUAUGACACCAAGCGCAACGAGAAGAGCAAGGAGUAUCGGGAGGCCAUGGAGCGUGUGAUGCAUGAGGAGCACUUGCGGCAGGUGGAAGCCCAACUGGACUACCUGGCACCAUUCCUGGCACAGCUCCCGCCAGGAGAGAAGCUGACACGCUGGCAGGCCGUGCGCCUCAAGGACGAGUGCCUCAGUGACUUCAAGCAGCGGCUCAUCGACAAGGCCAACCUCAUCCAGGCCCGUUUUGAAAAGGAGACCCAGGAGCUGCAGAAGCAGCAACAGUGGUACCAGGAGAACCAGAUGACCAUGACCGCUGAGGAUGAAGACUUGUACCUGAGUUACUGCUCUCAGGCCAUGUUUCGCAUCCGCAUCCUGGAGCAGAGGCUCAGUCGACACAAGGAGCUGGCCCCACUGAAGUAUCUGGCUCUGGAGGAAAAGCUCUAUAAGGACCCACGCCUUGUGGAACUCAUGAAAGUUUUUGCUUGAUGCCCCUCCUGGGGCCUCAGCCACAGCUGCCUGAGGGAAAACCUCCCGCACAGUGUUGCCCGUGCCCCCUACCCCCAGCUAAUGACCAUCCACUCAGGAUGUUGAGUCUUUGCAGUGCCUCUGCAGGUGAUCCCACAGCCACCUUCAAACAACUGGUUAGAUCUCAACGUGGCUAGGGCGGCCCAGCUCACCAAGAUAUGCCCUUUGGGAUAUGUGUAUUAUACUUCAAUAUGAAGUGUUUUAAAAUGCUGAUCAUGAAUCCAAUCAGGCUUUAACUUCCAUUCAACAAGAAAUUCCGGGGAAAAGGAAUAAGGUAAAUGACA